rnacentral:rRNA from 1 species
UACGUAGGGUCCAAGCGUUAUCCGGAAUUACUGGGCGUAAAGCGUGCGUAGGUGGCGCGUUAAGUGAGAUGCGAAAUCCUGUGGCUCAACCAUAUGGACUGUAUCUCAUACUGGCGUGCUGGAGGACGGCAGAGGCAAGUGGAAUUACCGGUGUAGCAGUGAAAUGCGUAGAUAUCGGGAGGAACACCCGUGGCGAAGGCGGCUCUCUGGGACGGUACUGACGCUGAGACGCGAAAGCGUGGGGAGCGAACAGG